rnacentral:rRNA from 1 species
AUGCUCCAGAAUAGCUCUUGGAAACGGGUGGUAAUGCUGGAUGCUCCAACUUGACGCAUGUCUUGUUGGGAAAGUGUUUAGUGGCAUGGGAUGGGGUCGCGUCCUAUCAGCUUGUAGGCGGGUAAUGGCCCACCUAGGCUUCGACGGGUAGCCGGCCUGAGAGGGCGGACGGCCACAUUGGGACUGAGAUACGGCCCAGACUCCUACGGGAGGCAGCAGC